rnacentral:rRNA from 1 species
AGCAGCCGCGGUAAUUCCAGCUCCAAUAGCGUAUAUUAAAGUUGUUGCAGUUAAAAGCUCGUAGUUGAAUUUCGGGAUCAAUACGUCGGUCGUGCUUAGGUACGUACUGGCAUAAUUGAUUUCUCCCUUCUGACGAACCAUGAUGUCAUUAACUUGGUGUCAUGGGAAAUCAGGACUGUUACUUUGAAAAAAUUAGAGUGUUUAAAGCAGGCUCACGCUUGAAUACAUUAGCAUGGAAUAAUGAAAUAGGACGUUCGAUCCUAUUUUGUGGUUUUAGGAUCAACGUAAUGAUUAAUAGGGAUAGUUGGGGGCAUUAGUAUUCAAUUGUCAGAGGUGAAAUUCUUGGAUUUAUUGAAGACUAACUACUGCGAAAGCAUUUGCCAAGGAUGUUUUCAUUAAUCAAGAACGAAAGUUAGGGAUCGAAGACGAUCAGAUACCGUCUAGUCUUAACCAUAAACUAUGCCGACUAGGGAUCAGCGGAUGUUGCUUUUAGGACUCCGCUGGCUA